rfam:Blautia sp. An249 An249_contig_19, whole genome shotgun sequence.
AGGACUUUAGCUCAGUGGUAGAGCACUUGACUUUUUGUCAAGAUGCCCUGGGUUCGAUUCCCAGAUGUCCUA